rnacentral:lncRNA from 1 species
GACAUUGUUAUUAUUUCUAGUAUGGAGAUGUGAUAUCAUUAUCGUUUAUGUGGUUGAUAUCUGUACAAUGGAUUGAUCCACAUAAAUGUUGGCUUCCUCAUAAGGUUCAACGAUGGCGUUUGAUUCAAUUUUGUAGGGAAGUAUGAGUGGUUCUUGGUGGUAGAUUCUACAUGCAGAAAGUCUCCUAAUUGAGAGAGAGAGAUGUUAGUGUAUCAAGUUUGUGUUAAAUUUCACAUUGGAUGCAAGAGUGAAUGAUGAACAACAUAUAAGUGAUAUGACAAAUAUACAUAAUGCCUUAAUAUUUAUGUUGAAGAUGUGGUGUCAAACUCACUUGUGUGGAUUCACUUGAUCUAAUGUGAUGAUCAAAUUCAAUUUUAGAUACUUUGAAAAUCACUAACAUUAAGUUGAACUGUUUUUUUUUUUUUUUUUUUAGUUUUUGAAUGUCACUUUUGGAGUCUUUCUAUCUUAAAAUUUAGUUUUUAGGUAUCAUUCUCUUUUAUGUGAAUUUCUUCACUCAACCUCUGUUAUUUUAAAUUUAUUCACUUUUGAUCUUUAGUGUCAAUUGAUAAUGAAAAAUUGCAUAUGUGUGUUGCUG